rnacentral:rRNA from 1 species
UACGUAGGGGGCAAGCGUUGUCCGGAUUUAUUGGGCGUAAAGAGCGUGUAGGCGGCCUGGUAGGUCAGCUGUGAAAACUCGAGGCUCAACCUCGAGACGCCGGUUGAAACCAUCAGGCUAGAGUCCGGAAGAGGAGAGUGGAAUUCCUGGUGUAGCGGUGAAAUGCGCAGAUAUCAGGAAGAACACCCGUGGCGAAGGCGGCUCUCUGGGACGGUACUGACGCUGAGACGCGAAAGCGUGGGGAGCGAACAGG